AGUUCUACUUUCGGAAACCUUGAUUUUGAAAAUCAACAAAAGAAGUUCGACUCUUCUUAGAACUU
rnacentral:tRNA from 1 species